rnacentral:snRNA from 1 species
CUCGCUUCUCGGCCUUUUGGCUAAGAUCAAAGUUUAGUUUCUGUUCUUAUCGAAUUAUCACACUCUUUUGUAGCUGUCAGCAGAAGCAACGUAACCCCUA